UAAGUGCUAUUCCAGAAAUCAGUUUGAUUCCCAUUUUAACCGUGCUCCUGCAGAAAGCUCUUUGACAGCCGCGGAGUUGCUCCUGGUUUCAGGAGAGCACAGGAAGAUGCUGUUUGUUCUGAGCAGGAAGGAACCCAGUGCUUUCAUGCAUUCACUUUUUAAUAGACCCGUGAGUGAGCAGGACAAGGUGCAGGAUCUUGGAUUCCAAGGCAGCAUGCUUGUGGAAAGAGGAGAAGGCAGCAGUUCUGCAGACAGUAAGUUUGGGGAAGAGGAGAACAUUUAAUCACAGAGUGUGAGGGGAGGAGAGUCGAUGCAAAAAAGACAAGCUGAUAGAAAACAGGGUUUCCAAGGCAAAGAGAGAGCGAGCAGUAUUUCUGU